rnacentral:rRNA from 1 species
CAGUCGCCGCGGGAAUACGAAGGGGGCUAGCGUUGCUCGGAAUGACUGGGCGUAAAGGGCGCGUAGGCGGCGGCCAAAGUCAGGCGUGAAAUUCCCGGGCUCAACCUGGGGGCUGCGUUUGAUACUUGGUUGCUUGAGUGGGGAAGAGGGUCGUGGAAUCCCCAGUGUAGAGGUGAAAUUCGUAGAUAUUGGGAAGAACACCGGUGGCGAAGGCGGCGACCUGGUCCUUUACUGACGCUGAGGCGCGAAAGCGUGGGGAGCAAACAGGAUUAGAUACCCCAGUAGUCCCUGUCUCUUAUAC